rnacentral:rRNA from 1 species
AUGAAAAUCCUAAGUUGGAAUUGUCGUGGGAUAGGCAAUCCCACGGUUCGAGAACUCCGCGAUCUUGUGGAGCUUAGUUUGCCUUCUAUUCUUUGUUUAGUCGAAACUCAAUUACAGAAGAGUUGUGUUGAAGGUCUUCGCUUUUCGUUAGGGUUUGAUUUCCGUUUUGGUGUUGGUAGCAAUGGUAGGAGUGGUGGUCUUCGUAUCUUUUGGAAGAAUUUGGUGGAUGUUGCAAUAAAAAACUUUUCAGAGUAUCAUGUGGAUGCAUGGGUGCAAGAACAGGGGAAAGAGCAGUGGCGUUUAUCUUGUUUCUAUGGAGAAGCAACGAGGAGUCUCCGUUAUAAAACUUGGAAUACAAUGAUGAGAUUGAGAGGGGAGAGCACCCUCCCCUGGUUAUGUAUUGGUGACUUCAACGAGAUACUGAGACCUGAGGAGCAACAUGGUCCCAAUGCCCGUGAUAGUGCUCAGAUAGAGGCUUUCAGAGAGGCCGUUGAUGUUUGUGGACUUGUCGAUUUGGGCUAUCGUGGCUUGGACUGGACAUGGGAGAAGAAGGUGGCUGGUGGUCACUUUUGCCGAGUACGUUUGGAUCGAGCCUUGGGAUCGGCCUGCUGGUCGGCGCUCUUUCCUUUCGCUUCUCUUGAACACUUAACCGCGGCAAAAUCCGAUCACUGUCCCAUAUUGUUAGAGAUGGAGCUGGUAGCGACAAAUGUUCGGGCCAAGCAAAAACAAUUCAGAUACGAGUGCAUGUGGGAAAGGGAACCUAGCUUUGGAGAUAUCUUGGCUGAGGCGUGGAACGAUGCGGGCAGGGCCCAAACUGUAUCGGGACUAUCUGCAAAACUUGCCAUCGUUGCCGGUGCGCUACAAAGAUGGGGCCGGAACAAGUUUGGUGCAGUCCGUGCGGAACUGCGCUCCCUGCGCCUUUAG